rnacentral:rRNA from 1 species
AGAGUUUGAUCAUGGCUCAGAACGAACGCUGGCGGUAUGCUUAACACAUGCAAGUCGAACGCGAACGUUUCUUCGGAAACAAGUAGAGUGGCGGACGGGUGAGUAACGCGUAGGAAUCUGCCUAGUAGUGGGGGACAACAUGUGGAAACGCAUGCUAAUACCGCAUACGCCCUACGGGGGAAAGCGGGGGACCUUCGGGCCUCGUGCUAUUGGAUGAGCCUGCGUUAGAUUAGCUAGUUGGUAGGGUAAAGGCCUACCAAGGCGACGAUCUAUAGCUGGUCUGAGAGGAUGAUCAGCCACACUGGAACUGAGACACGGUCCAGACUCCUACGGGAGGCAGCAGUGGGGAAUAUUGCACAAUGGGCGCAAGCCUGAUGCAGCCAUGCCGCGUGUGUGAAGAAGGCUCUAGGGUUGUAAAGCACUUUAAGCGAGGAGGAAAGGAUUGUAGUUAAUAGCCAGGAUCUGUGACGUUACUCGCAGAAUAAGCACCGGCUAACUCCGUGCCAGCAGCCGCGGUAAUAAGGAGGGUGCAAGCGUUAAUCGGAAUUACUGGGCGUAAAACGCGCGUAGGUGGCUUUUUAAGUCAGAUGUGAAAGCCCAGGGCUCAACCUUGGAACUGCAUUUUGAACUGGCAAACUAGAGUACGGUAGAGGGUGGUAGAAUUUCCUGUGUAGCGGUGAAAUGCGUAGAUAUAGGAAGGAAUACCAGUGGCGAAGGCGGCCACCUGGACUGAUACUGACGCUGAGGUGCGAAAGCGUGGGGAGCGAACAGGAUUAGAUACCCUGGUAGUCCACGCCGUAAACGAUGUCAACUAGCCGUAGGGAUCCUUGAGGUCUUUGUGGCGCAGCUAACGCAAUAAGUUGACCGCCUGGGGAGUACGGCCGCAAGGUUAAAACUCAAAUGAAUUGACGGGGGCCCGCACAAGCGGUGGAGCAUGUGGUUUAAUUCGAUGCAACGCGAAGAACCUUACCAGGUCUUGACAUCCCGAGAAUUUACUAGAGAUAGUUUAGUGCCUUCGGGAACUCGGUGACAGGUGCUGCAUGGCUGUCGUCAGCUCGUGUCGUGAGAUUUUGGGUUAAGUCCCGUAACGAGCGCAACCCUUGUCCUUAGUUGCCAGCACGUAAUGGUGGGAACUCUAAGGAGACUGCCGGUGACAAACCGGAGGAAGGUGGGGACGACGUCAAGUCAUCAUGGCCCUUACUACUUGGGCUACACACGUGCUACAAUGGCCGGUACAGAGGGCUGCAAUACCGCGAGGUGGAGCUAAUCCCAGAAAACCGAUCGUAGUCCGGAUUGGAGUCUGCAACUCGACUCCAUGAAGUCGGAAUCGCUAGUAAUCGCGAAUCAGAAUGUCGCGGUGAAUACGUUCCCGGGCCUUGUACACACCGCCCGUCACACCAUGGGAGUGGGUUGCAAAAGAAGUGGGUAGACUAACCUUCGGGAGGUCGCUCACCACUUUGUGAUUCAUGACUGGGGUGAAGUCGAAACAAGGUAGCC